rnacentral:lncRNA from 1 species
GCAGUUUUGGCCAAGGAGCAGAAGGAAGAUUACUUGCCUGUUCUCAGUGUGGUCAGUGUUACCAUCCAUACUGUGUCAGUAUUAAGGUCACUAAAGUGGUUCUUAGCAAAGGUUGGAGGUGUCUUGAGUGCACUGUGUGUGAGGCCUGUGGGAAGGCAACUGACCCAGGAAGAUUCCUGCUGUGUGAUGAUUGUGACAUAAGUUAUCACACCUACUGCCUAGACCCUCCAUUGCAGACAGUUCCCAAAGGAGACUGGAAGUGCAAAUGGUGUGUUUGGUGCAGACACUGUGGAGCAACAUCUGCAGGUCUAAGAUGUGAAUGGCAGAACAAUUACACACAGUGCGCUCCUUGU